CCUACGGGAGGCUGCAGUGGGGAAUAUUGGACAAUGGGCGAAAGCCUGAUCCAGCCAUGCCGCGUGUGUGAAGAAGGCCUUCGGGUUGUAAAGCACUUUCAGUGGGGAAGAAAGCCUUGGGGCUAAUACCCUCGAGGAAGGACAUCACCCACAGAAGAAGCACCGGCUAACUCCGUGCCAGCAGCCGCGGUAAUACGGAGGGUGCGAGCGUUAAUCGGAAUUACUGGGCGUAAAGCGCGCGUAGGCGGUCUGAUAAGCCGGUUGUGAAAGCCCCGGGCUCAACCUGGGAACGGCAUCCGGAACUGUCAGGCUAGAGUGCAGGAGAGGAAGGUAGAAUUCCCGGUGUAGCGGUGAAAUGCGUAGAGAUCGGGAGGAAUACCAGUGGCGAAGGCGGCCUUCUGGACUGACACUGACGCUGAGGUGCGAAAGCGUGGGUAGCAAACAGGAUUAGAUACCCUCGGUAGUC
rnacentral:rRNA from 1 species